AAGCGGGCGAAUGGAAGAGCCCGUCUAAGCAGUGAGGUGUGAUAUGAGUCAAAUGCUUGUAUCUGUAACAUUGAGCUGUGAUGGGGAGCGAAAUUAAGUAGCGAAGUUAGUGACGUCACACUGCCAAGAAAAGCUUCUAGCGAUAAGUAUACACUACCCGUACCGCAAACCGACACAGGUAGUCGAGGCGAGUAGCCUCAGGUGAGCGAGAGAACUCUCGUUAAGGAACUCGGCAAAAUGACCCCGUAACUUCGGGAGAAGGGGUGCUGACUUUUAGUCAGCCGCAGUGAAUAGGCCCAAGCAACUGUUUAUCAAAAACACAGCUCUCUGCUAAAUCGUAAGAUGAUGUAUAGGGGGUGGCGCCUGCCCGGUGCUGGAUGGUUAAGAGGAGGGUUUAGCGUAAGCGAAGAUCUGAAUUGAAGCCCCAGUAAACGGCGGCCGUAACCAUAACGGUCCUAAGGUAGCGAAAUUCCUUGUCGGGUAAGUUCCGACCCGCACGAAAGGCGUAAUGAUUUGGGCACUGUCUCAACGAGAGACUCGGUGAAAUUUUAGUACCUGUGAAGAUGCAGGUUACCCGCGACAGGACGGAAAGACCCCAUGGAGCUUUACUGCAGUUUGAUAUUGAGUAUCUGUACCACAUGUACAGGAUAGGUAGGAGCCUAAGAAAUCGGGACGCCAGUUUCGAUUGAGGCGCUGUUGGGAUACUACCCUUGUGUUAUGGCUACUCUAACCCGGUAGGUUAAUCAUCUACGGAGACAGUGUCUGACGGGCAGUUUGACUGGGGCGGUCGCCUCCUAAAAGGUAACGGAGGCGCCCAAAGGUUCCCUCAGAAUGGUUGGAAAUCAUUCGCAGAGUGUAAAGGUAUAAGGGAGCUUGACUGCGAGAGCUACAACUCGAGCAGGGACGAAAGUCGGGCUUAGUGAUCCGGUGGUUCCGUAUGGAAGGGCCAUCGCUCAACGGAUAAAAGCUACCCUGGGGAUAACAGGCUUAUCUCCCCCAAGAGUUCACAUCGACGGGGAGGUUUGGCACCUCGAUGUCGGCUCGUCGCAUCCUGGGGCUGUAGUCGGUCCCAAGGGUUGGGCUGUUCGCCCAUUAAAGCGGCACGCGAGCUGGGUUCAGAACGUCGUGAGACAGUUCGGUCCCUAUCCGUCGCGGGCGUAGGAAAUUUGAGAGGAUCUGCUCCUAGUACGAGAGGACCAGAGUGGACUUACCGCUGGUGUACCAGUUGUCUCGCCAGAGGCAUCGCUGGGUAGCUAUGUAGGGAAGGGAUGAACGCUGAAAGCAUCUAAGUGUGAAACCCACCUCAAGAUGAGAUUUCCCAUAACAUUAAGUUAGUAAGAGCCCUGAGAGAAGAUCAGGUAGAUAGGUUGGAAGUGGAAGUGUGGCGACACAUGUAGCGGACCAAUACUAAUCGCUCGAGGACUUAUCCG
rnacentral:rRNA from 1 species